UCAAGGGGGCCCCACAGGGAAUUCCCCAAUUCAUAUAUACACUCACAGUAACAAUACAGAGGGGGGACACCAUCAACUUCAUCUUCUCCACCUUAUAUCAUCACAGCAAGAUACUUCAUUCUUCCACUCAUCAUCUUUUAUUUCUUCUGGCUCACUGAUAUACUCACCAACCUCACGAUAUCUGGGGACACAUAGACUGGUAUAGGGAAAUAGAUAGGAGUGGGAGAGAUCUAUUGAGAGAGAAAUUGAGAAAACAAGGAGAGUGAGAGAGAGCACUGGUCAGAGUGUGAGAAAACCAGAGAUAAAGGGAUUCUCAAGUUUUCCCAACAAGAUUCUCUCCGAAAUUAGCACCAUCCGUUCGAGUUAACUCAUCCCGUGCCGAAAACCCAACAUAACUCAUCGUUUCUUUCUAAUUUUUAGGAGAUACUAUCGGAAAUAAGUGAACAAUAGUAGCAGCAUCAACAUGUUUUUUAAAAGCGAUUCUAAACAAUUUAACACCGGUGUUGUAUUUGGAUCGGGUUUCGAAGAUUUUCAUGUUGGAGUUGGUUCGUAGUUGAGUUGUGGUAUUCUUCAAGGCUGAUUCGGGGUUCUUCGUCAUGCAGAGUCAUCUUUUCGAUUGAUUGAUAUUUGAAAUAAAAUCAUGAUUGAGGGAAUGCCCCAAGACACAUUGUAUUUAUUCACCGGGGAAUGCCCUGAUGUAUUAUGUUGGUGGAAGACGUUCGUGAUGAAGGCCCGAGACAUUGGAUAAGCAUUGGAGCAUAGUUUAGGAUUAGUCUAGAAUAGGAUUUAUAUUUUUGUAUUUCUAUCCUUGGGACUGUAUAAUUCGAACUGGACAUUAUUUUGGUUUUGAAUUUGUUUGAUUUGUUUAUUUGCUUGUUUCGUGUGUUAUGUGUGGUUUAUACAUUUUGUAGUAUCAAAUUAGCCGAUAUGCUCCACCAAGCGACUGUGAUUGAACCACGGGAUCGAGGGGUGCCUAACACCUUCCCCUCGGUCAACAGAAUUCCUUAGCCGAAAUCUCUGUUCGCAAACUAGUUUAAAGAGUCAAAUCAUUUUGAAAAGUAUUUUCCAAAGGUGACUUGGCACACUGGAUUAUGUCAAGUGGCGACUCUGAAUAGAAAUAUAAAUAAUCCUUUUUCGAUACAAAUGUUCAUCUUUUGUCACCUAAUAAUAAAAAUCCUUUCGAAACUUUAAAAUCUAAUUCUUUUUGGGAGUUGAAAAAAAGGGGUGUGACAAUUAUAUUAUGAUGACUGUGUACUUUCUUCUUUUUGAGAAGAGGGUUUGAACGUCAUCAGAAGCAAAGAUAACAAGAAUUUUUGAGAUAUAUAGUUUUUUUUUAAAUUAGCUUUGGGCCUGACCCGUUUUAUUAAAUAAAAGAUGUAAUGUUUGUACAAAAUUACUCAAGUGAGCCCAAAAAAUGAAAAUAAAAAGAUAUCUGAAGAGUCAAGACCCGAUCCACCAAUGGGUCUUCCCCAACUAUAAAAAUGCCCUAUAGUAGGGUUUUCUAAUUGUGACUUCCCUAACGUAAUCCUUAAAUGUUGCCUCUGGAAGCUCUCUUCAAUGAUGAAUUCCGUAUACGUUUGUUUUAGGCCAUUAAUUUUCUCGAAGAUGAAGCAAGUGACGAGAUCUUCAUAUUUAGCUUGCAAAGGUACUACAAGUCCAGAUCCGACCCCUCUUCUCAAACGGUGAUGUCAAGAUUUUAGCAACCAAUUUUCAUUGCAAAUUAUCAAAAUUCGGUGACUCAACCAAGUAAACUGACCCAACUUCAA